UGCAAGUUCAUGCUUUCAGGGCAAGGUGUGUUGUUUUUUUUUCCUCAACUGUUUUGCAGGAGUGCAAUAAAAGAUAACUAAAGAACAUCUCUUAAAUGAAACUCUUAAGUGGUUGAAAUCUGGAGAAGACUGACCUCUGGCUCAUCUUGCACAAGGAAGCCAAGCAGCCAUGCAACCAUGCAGGACUGGAACUGUUUUCUUCUUGUUGGGUGAAAAUUCAAGCUUUGUUAAAAAAGCUUUACAUUCCUUGCAAACCCAAUCAGGCAUUCAAAACACAUUCAGCUCCCCUGAACACCAAAAGGACUGA
rnacentral:lncRNA from 1 species